rnacentral:lncRNA from 1 species
UCAUCAACUACUAACCCAUCACCUUUCAGCAGAUAUUGCCGCCCAUCUUGCUGCAACUUUUUCUUCUUUUCUUUUUUUCACAAGUGCUUGUUCUGUAAUAUUUAGAGAUUAUCCCCGUACAUAUGUAGUAUCCACGAUCAUAUACUUGUUCAUAUAAAAAAAUCAUAAACUCGGGAAGACCAAAACUUCACUGGGUAUCAUGAACUUUUUUGUCGUGAAAGUGAAGUAUAAUUGAUAAAGAGCUUAUGGGAAAGAAAAUUUAAUAAAAUCGAAGAAUACUACGACUUACGGAGAUGCAAAUUGGAUUUGCCGCUUCACUUUUCAAAUCCCUCCUCUUCCGUUCCCAUGUGAAUGUCUUUUUUACAUUACUAGUAAUUUUCCACGCGUUACAUGGAUGCCAAUUUUUUUUUUUUUUUAUGUGUGUGAUUGACAAUUAGCAAUGAUUAUUGUUCUCUUGCUCAAGUUGACAAAACUAUAAUUUUAGUCCAACUUUUGUCAUAUUUAAUCAUAUUGUGAUUAAUCAUUCAUUAAUCUCUGUUGUACUUGUCUAUUGGAAUUAUGUCUAUAUUUCAAUUUAUCUUUUCAAAUAUAAGUCUAAUAAAUGGAAAAAGAGCAAGAAGAAAAACUAAAUAAGAAAAACAGCAAAAAACUGAUGAAGAAAAAAAAAAUGCAGGAAUGGGGCGAUAAUACUCUUCGUGACUCGCGGAGAGUUCCACUUCACAUUUUUGUUUUGUUUUGUUUUUUUAUGAAGAUGCAAUCUAAAUUUAUUAAUAUGCAAGAUAAUUUUCCCAAAUUUCCCAAGUUAUAGCAUGUGAUUUGUCAAAGGAAAUGUGCAAAAGAAAGAAUUAACGAUAAUGCACUCCAAAAAGCCUAGAUGCGCAUGAUAAUGCUUAUCCAUGAAAAUUCUAAGUUUUCUAAUAUAAUUUAUGCUAAUAUGUAACGAAAAAUCAUAAAAUAAAGGUCUGAGUUUUGGCUCAAACAAUUAUGCGUGCAGAUGUAUCACCUGAUUAAAACAAAAUUAACAAAUCACCAUGAAUUAUGCAAUCAAGCUGCAACUUUAACCUGGCCAGCAAGUAUAUGGCAUCAACUUUCCCCAAUUUUGGUAUUAAACUUGCUGCAUCAGUUCAAGGGAAAAAGAGAGCAAGUACAAAGAUGUCUUUUACCUAUUCCAAGUAGACUUCCUGGAGCUGAGCAGGCGAACGGGAUAAGAUCUAAAACAGAAAUCCAGCAAGAACGAGCGCUAGGUUUGGCAGUUCACUGUGUACGCGAGCGUAGUCAGCUACGGGAAUGCGUGGUCGCUGCUUGUAACGACGAACGAUGGUAUUGAUUGAGCGACAACUAGAGAUGGUGGUGAUUGGCGACAAUCGAUAUGCAUGCAAGAAAUGAAUUGAAUGAGAGUGAAGUCCGUGGGAUAUGAUAAUGCUUGUCCAUGAAAAUUGUAAUUUUUUUAAUAUAAUUAUCCUGACACGAAUAUGAUGAAAUUCCAUCCUAAUAUGUAAUGAAAAAUCCUAAGUCUGUCCAAAUCAGCAAAUAUGAACACGCUUAAAAAUGUGAAUAUGACUUUCCCUAAAUAUGUAAAUUUAUGAUAUGCAAUUUCCUAAAUGUGCAACAUCUAAUAACUCUACACAUGGUUUUGUUAAACAUCUCCC